CGCAUCUCUAAUUGUCCCAAGGUCCCUGGACUCAGCAGCCAUACCUCAGCGGCUCCUUAAACUUAAUAUGAAAAAAUGCACUUCUCCCUCAUCCUCCCCCCUACUCUUCCCCACCUCAGGGUGAGGUAUCCACGGCAGGAAACCCUAAUCUGGAAAACCCUUCUGAGCUGUCGAAUGAAUGCAACAGUUCUCAAAUACUGAUCUGUGAACCAAGUUUUCAUGCAUCCCUGGUGAGGUACACACCGUAUGUAUUCUUUUAUCUAUCAAACAUCUUUUGUAGAAAUGAAAUUGAUGGAAUUGGAGGACAGAGAAUUCCACCUACAUGGAGCAAGCCGCCUCUUUCAUUGAUGCAGCAAAACAUCAAUAAAAUGGGCCCCCUGAGCUUCUUCCAAGACUGUGAGAAUAUAGCUGACAAGCAUCUGAGGGUCAGGUUGGAAAGAAGGCGAUCAGGACAAGACGCUGGCAUGCAUCACUCGCCCUUGCAGAGUAACUGCUCCAAGUCGCCUUACACCCAUCCAGCCAACCUCCACCCCUCACUGCUUCCUGCAGCCACGGAAUGUUCUUCUGCAUCCCUGACUGUUGGUUGCUCUUAGAAUUCUGGGUUGGAGAGCUCAGGGAGGCAACAGAAGAUACAAGUCCCUCAGAGUCAGGGGCCAUGUCUUAAUGCAUGCCCAUAUCUCUAACUUUCAACCCCACUGUAUGUGCAGAGUAGAUACCGGGUAGUUGUUUGCUGUAUAUAUGAAAGAAGCACCUGGUGAAGAAUAAAUGGCCAUCGCAAAUAAACAAAGGAUGCUAAACC